AGAACGAACGCUGGCGGCAGGCCUAACACAUGCAAGUCGAACGCUCGUAGCAAUACGGGAGUGGCAGACGGGUGAGUAACGCGUGGGAACCUUCCCAGUGGUACGGAAUAGCUCAGGGAAACUUGAGGUAAUACCGUAUACGCCCCUAGGGGGAAAGAUUUAUCGCCAUUGGAUGGGCCCGCGUCGGAUUAGCUAGUUGGUGAGGUAACGGCUCACCAAGGCGACGAUCCGUAGCUGGUUUGAGAGAAUGACCAGCCACACUGGGACUGAGACACGGCCCAGACUCCUACGGGAGGCAGCAGUGGGGAAUCUUGGACAAUGGGCGCAAGCCUGAUCCAGCCAUGCCGCGUGAGUGACGAAGGCCUUAGGGUUGUAAAGCUCUUUUGCCGGGGACGAUAAUGACGGUACCCGGAGAAUAAGUCCGGCUAACUUCGUGCCAGCAGCCGC
rnacentral:rRNA from 1 species